GCGCGACCGACGCCGGCCCACAACACCACCAGACACCACCCAAGAAGGAUACUACGUACAGAGACACUCUCUUCCCUUCUUCCUUGCUCCAGGCUUUGUCUCAAUUUCUACGACACUUUCCUACACUGCUAACAAACCAACUGCUGUAACCAAGACUAUAUUAUAUAAAUAUAUAAAACCACUAAGCUCUGUCCAAUCAAGCAAACACAAACACGUAAUCGUAGGUUACAAAGCAUUUACAGCGUUGUGGUUAGAAGGAAAGUGGUGAGCGAAGCACGUGCUCUGGAAGUGUUUGGACGUCAGCAGUUUCAGAUGAAUGAAUACAGAGCAAUUAAAUAUAUGACCGUUCACCAGGUUGAUUCCUGGGCAGUACAAGACGUUUGGACAAGUUUCCUCUUCACAUAGCAGUAACUAGCAUUUGGAGGCACAUACAUCAGCCAGCAUUUGUUGAUCAAAUACCUUCCAUAUAGCCGCAAGAAUCAUAUUAUAGUGUCAAGCUUGGUGGCUUGCUGUGUGGCUUACCAAGUGACAGCUGUGC